CCUACGGGUGGCAGCAGUGAGGAAUAUUGGUCAAUGGACGGAAGUCUGAACCAGCCAUGCCGCGUGCAGGAAGACGGCUCUAUGAGUUGUAAACUGCUUUUGUACAAGGGUAAACCUGAAUACGUGUAUUCAGCUGAAAGUACUGUACGAAUAAGGAUCGGCUAACUCCGUGCCAGCAGCCGCGGUAAUACGGAGGAUCCAAGCGUUAUCCGGAUUUAUUGGGUUUAAAGGGUGCGUAGGCGGAUUGAUAAGUUAGCGGUGAAAUGUCCGAGCUUAACUCGGGAACUGCCUCGAAUACUGUUGGUCUAGAGAGUAGAUGCGGUAGGCGGAAUGUAUGGUGUAGCGGUGAAAUGCUUAGAGAUCAUACAGAACACCGAUUGCGAAGGCAGCUUACCAAUCUAUAUCUGAGGUUGAGGCACGAAAGCGUGGGGAGCAAACAGGAUUAGAUACCCUAGUAGUC
rnacentral:rRNA from 1 species